AGUUGGUACCACUCCUUCCCAUCCCGAACAGGACAGUGAAACGACUUAGCGCCGAUGAUAGUGCGGAUUCCCGUGUGAAAGUAGGACAUCGUCAGGC
rnacentral:rRNA from 1 species